GACGUAGGGCGCGAGCGUUGUCCGGAUUUAUUGGGCGUAAAGAGCUCGUAGGCGGCUUGUCGCGUCGACCGUGAAAACUUGGGGGCUCAACCCCCAAGCCUGCGGUCGAUACGGGCAGGCUCGAGUUCGGUAGGGGGAGACUGGAAUUCCUGGUGUAGCGGUGAAAUGCGCAGAUAUCAGGAGGAACACCGAUGGCGAAGGCAGGUCUCUGGGCCGAUACUGACGCUGAGGAGCGAAAGCGUGGGGAGCGAACAGG
rnacentral:rRNA from 1 species